rnacentral:rRNA from 1 species
GAUGAACGCUAGCGGCAGGCCUAACACAUGCAAGUCGAGGGGCAGCACAGAAACAGCAAUGUUUUGGUGGCGACCGGCAGACGGGUGCGUAACGCGUAUGCAACCUACCUUUAACAGGGGGAUAACGGAGAGAAAUUUCCACUAAUACCCCAUAACAUCGAUCAAGGCAUCUUGAUUGGUUGAAAACUCCGGUGGUUAAAGAUGGGCAUGCGUUGUAUUAGGUAGUUGGUGAGGUAAUGGCUCACCAAGCCUACGAUACAUAGGGGGACUGAGAGGUUAGCCCCCCACACUGGUACUAGGACACGGACCAGACUCCUACGGGAGGCAGCAGUGAGGAAUAUUGGUCAAUGGGGGCAACCCUGAACCAGCCAUGCCGCGUGCAGGAAGACGGCUCUAUGAGUUGUAAACUGCUUUUAAACAGGGAUAAAGCACAGUAUGUAUACUGUGUUGAAGGUACUGUAAGAAUAAGGAUCGGCUAACUCCGUGCCAGCCGCCGCCGUAA